CCCUUAGACGUUCUGGGCCGCACGCGCGCUACACUGACGGAGCCAGCGAGUAUAAACCUUGGCCGGGAGGUCUGGGAAAUCUUGUGAAACUCCGUCGUGCUGGGGAUAGAGCAUUGUAAUUAUUGCUCUUCAACGAGGAAUUCCUAGUAAGCGCAAGUCAUCAGCUUGCGUUGAUUACGUCCCUGCCCUUUGUACACACCGCCCGUCGCUACUACCGAUUGAAUGGCUUAGUGAGGCUUCCGGAUUGGUUUAGAGAAGGGGGCAACUCCAUCUUGGAACCGAGAAGCUAGUCAAACUUGGUCAUUUAGAGGAAGUAAAAGUCGUAACA
rnacentral:rRNA from 1 species